rnacentral:rRNA from 1 species
UAAAAACCCCGACUUCGGAAGGGGUGUAUUUAUUAGAUACAAAACCAAUGCCCUUCGGGGCUCUUUGGUGAUUCAUGAUAACUAUACGAAUCGCACGGCCUUGCGCCGGCGAUGGUUCAUUCAAAUUUCUUCCCUAUCAACUUUCGAUGUUUGGGUAUUGGCCAAACAUGGUUGCAACGGGUAACGGAGGGUUAGGGCUCGACCCCGGAGAAGGAGCCUGAGAUACGGCUACUACAUCCAAGGAAGGCAGCAGGCGCGCAAAUUACCCAAUCCCGACUCGGGGAGGUAGUGACAAUAAAUACUGAUACAGGGCCCUUUCGGGCCUUGUAAUUGGAAUGAGUACAAUUUAAAUCCCUUAACGAGGAACAAUUGGAGGGCAAGUCUGGUGCCAGCAGCCGCGGUAAUUCCAGCUCCAAUAGCGUAUAUUAAAGUUGUUGUGGUUAAAAAGCUCGUAGUUGAACCUUGGGCCUGGCUGGCCGGUCCGCCUCACCGCGUGCACUGGUCCGGCCGGGCCUUUCCCUCUGUGGAACCCCAUAACUUCACUGGGAGUGGCGGGGAAACAAAACAAUUAGUUUA